UACGUAGGGGGCAAGCGUUGUCCGGAAUCAUUGGGCGUAAAGCGCGCGUAGGUGGCCCCAUAAGUCCGCUGUGAAAGUCAAAGGCUCAACCUUUGAAAGCCGGUGGAUACUGUGGGACUAGAGUACGGAAGAGGCGAGUGGAAUUCCUGGUGUAGCGGUGGAAUGCGCAGAUAUCAGGAGGAACACCAGUGGCGAAGGCGGCUCACUGGACCGGUACUGACGCUGAGGCGCGAAAGCGUGGGGAGCAAACGGG
rnacentral:rRNA from 1 species